AUUGAACGCUGGCGGCAUGCCUUACACAUGCAAGUCGAACGGCAGCGGGGGAGAAGCUUGCUUUUCCUGCCGGCGAGUGGCGAACGGGUGAGUAAUACGUCGGAACGUGCCCUGUAGUGGGGGAUAACUAGUCGAAAGAUUAGCUAAUACCGCAUACGACCUGAGGGUGAAAGUGGGGGGCCGUAAGGCCUCAUGCUAUAGGAGCGGCCGAUGUCUGAUUAGCUAGUUGGUGGGGUAAAGGCCUACCAAGGCGCCGAUCAGUAGCUGGUCUGAGAGGACGAUCAGCCACACUGGGACUGAGACACGGCCCAGACUCCUACGGGAGGCAGCAGUGGGGAAUUUUGGACAAUGGGCGAAAGCCUGAUCCAGCAAUGCCGCGUGUGUGAAGAAGGCCUUCGGGUUGUAAAGCACUUUUGUCCGGAAAGAAAUGGCUCUGGUUAAUACCUGGGGUCGAUGACGGUACCGGAAGAAUAAGGACCGGCUAACUACGUGCCAGCCGCCGCAGUAA
rnacentral:rRNA from 1 species